AACGUUUGGCAAUGGAUCACUUGGUUCCGGCAUCGAUGAAGAACGCAGCGAAAUGCGAUAACUAAUGUGAAUUGCAGAAUUCAGUGAAUCAUCGAGUCUUUGAACGCACAUUGCGCCCCCUGGUAUUCCGGGGGGCAUGCCUGUCCGAGCGUCAUUGCUGCCCUCAAGCACGGCUUGUGUGUUGGGCUCCGUCCCCCCGGGGACGGGCCCGAAAGGCAGCGGCGGCACCGAGGACGGUCCUCGAGCGUAUGGGGCUUUGUCACCCGCUCUGUAGGCCCGGCCGGCGCCAGCCGAGAACCCAUCAUCCUUUUCAGGUUGACCUCGGAUCAGGUAGGGAUACCCGCUGAACUUAAGCAUAUAAAUAAGCGGAGGAU
rnacentral:misc_RNA from 1 species